UGCGUAGGCGGUCGGAUAAGUCUGAUGUGAAAUCUUCGAGCUCAACUCGGAAACUGCAUCGGAAACUAUUCGGCUAGAGGAUUGGAGGGGAGACUGGAAUUCUCGGUGUAGCAGUGAAAUGCGUAGAUAUCGAGAGGAACACCAGUGGCGAAGGCGAGUCUCUGGACAAUUCCUGACGCUGAGGCACGAAAGCUAGGGGAGCAAACA
rnacentral:rRNA from 1 species